rnacentral:lncRNA from 1 species
CUCUCGAAGCCCAGCGUGUUUCACAGCGAAGCGGCUGGGAGCUCCUUUGAUGCGAUCGCACUGCUGUAUCUCGCAUGAGUCAUCCUGAGCGGGCUGUGAGCAAGCAGCGGUUGGUACGUGAGGAGCAUGCGGCCAGCUGAUACAGGUUGAGUUAUGCAGUCUGUGCAAUGCAUCCGAGGUGUCAGUGUACCACUUGGGGCUCUGGGCUUGUAGGCUCGUGGUUGGAAUGUGCAGUUGUGAAAUGGAGAAAAUGGGCAUGGAAAACACUGCUGUGAACACCCAGCGUUAGCAAGCAGGGACACCCACAGCUGCGGGAGCUGGACUAGGCAGCCUUUAAGGGUCCCUUCCCACCCCAGCGGGUCUGUGAUUCUGUAUUCUGAGGGCCUGAGCAAAAGCACGUUAGAUGGCUGUUCUGCAGGUUUGCUACUUCCACGUUUGGCAGCUUGCCUGGCUUCUGAGGGGCAGCUGCAUACAAGUUACCUCCUCUGGUGUGCUGUGUA